UACGAAGGGGGCUAGCGUUGUUCGGAAUUACUGGGCGUAAAGCGACACGUAGGCGGAUUGUUAAGUCAGGGGUGAAAUCCUGGAGCUCAACUCCAGAACUGCCUUUGAUACUGGCGAUCUUGAGUCCGGGAGAGGUGAGUGGAACUGCGAGUGUAGAGGUGAAAUUCGUAGAUAUUCGCAAGAACACCAGUGGCGAAGGCGGCUCACUGGCCCGGUACUGACGCUGAGGUGCGAAAGCGUGGGGAGCAAACAGG
rnacentral:rRNA from 1 species